GGUUGAUCGCGUCGGAAGUGUAAUCUUGGGGCUUAACCCUGAGCGUGCUUUCGAUGCGGGUUGACUUGAGGAAGGUAGGGGAGAAUGGAAUUCCUGGUGGAGCGGUGGAAUGCGCAGAUAUCAGGAGGAACACCAGUGGCGAAGGCGGUUCUCUGGGCCUUUCCUGACGCUGAGGAGCGAAAGCGUGGGGAGCGAACAGGCUUAGAUACCCUGGUAGUCCACGCUGUAAACGGUGGGUACUAGGUGUGGGGUCCAUUCCACGGGUUCCGCGCCGUAGCUAACGCUUUAAGUACCCCGCCUGGGGGGUACGGCCGCAAGGCUAAAACUCAAAGGAAUUGACGGGGCCCCGCACAAGCGGCGGAGCAUGCGGAUUAAUUCGAUGCAACGCGUAGAACCUUACCUGGGUUUGACAUGGAUCGGGAGUGCUCAGAGAUGGGUGUGCCUCUUUUAGGGUCGGUUCACAGGUGGUGCAUGGCUGUCGUCAGCUCGUGUCGUGAGAUGUUGGGUUAAGUCCCGCAACGAGCGCAACCCUUGUUCACUGUUGCCAGCACGUUAUGGUGGGGACUCAGUGGAGACCGCCGGGGUCAACUCGGAGGAAGGUGGGGAUGACGUCAAGUCAUCAUGCCCCUUAUGUCCAGGGCUUCACGCAUGCUACAAUGGCUGGUACAGAGAGUGGCGAGCCUGUGAGGGUGAGCGAAUCUCGGAAAGCCGGUCUCAGUUCGGAUUGGGGUCUGCAACUCGACCUCAUGAAGUCGGAGUCGCU
rnacentral:rRNA from 1 species